rnacentral:rRNA from 1 species
AACGAACGCUGGCGGCAGGCUUAACACAUGCAAGUCGAGCGCAUCCUUCGGGGUGAGCGGCAGACGGGUGAGUAACGCGUGGGAACGUACCCUUUCCUACGGAAUAGCUCCGGGAAACUGGAAUUAAUACCGUAUACGCCCUUAGGGGGAAAGAUUUAUCGGGGAAGGAUCGGCCCGCGUUGGAUUAGCUAGUUGGUGGGGUAAAGGCCUACCAAGGCGACGAUCCAUAGCUGGUCUGAGAGGAUGAUCAGCCACAUUGGGACUGAGACACGGCCCAAACUCCUACGGGAGGCAGCAGUGGGGAGUAUUGGACAAUGGGCGCAAGCCUGAUCCAGCCAUGCCGCGUGAGUGAUGAAGGCCUUAGGGUUGUAAAGCUCUUUCAGUAGGGAAGAUAGUGACGGUACCUACAGAAGAAGCCCCGGCUAACUUCGCGCCAGCCGCCGCGGUAA